UACGUAGGUGACAAGCGUUGUCCGGAUUUACUGGGCGUAAAGAGCGCGCAGGCGGUCGUUCAAGUCGAGUGUGAAAGCCCCCGGCUCAACUGGGGAGGGUCACUCGAUACUGAUCGACUCGAAGGCAGGAGAGGGUAGUGGAAUUCCCGGUGUAGUGGUGAAAUGCGUAGAUAUCGGGAGGAACACCAGUGGCGAAGGCGACUACCUGGCCUGUUCUUGACGCUGAGGCGCGAAAGCCAGGGGAGCAAACGGG
rnacentral:rRNA from 1 species